AUUUAAAUAGCUUAAAUUAAGAGUAUAAUAUUGAAGAUAUUAGGGUAAUUUAUAAAUUUUUAAAUA
rnacentral:tRNA from 1 species